UGAGGAAUAUUGGACAAUGGGCGCAAGCCUGAUCCAGCCAUGCCGCGUGCAGGAAGAAACAUCUAUGGUGUGUAAACUGCUUUUGUACGGGAAGAAACACUCCUUCGUGAAGGAGCUUGACGGUACCGUAAGAAUAAGGAUCGGCUAACUCCGUGCCAGCAGCCGCGGUAAUACGGAGGAUCCAAGCGUUAUCCGGAAUCAUUGGGAUUAAAGGGUCCGUAGGCGGUUUAGUAAGUCAGUGGUGAAAGCCCAUCGCUCAACGAUGGAACGGCCAUUGAUACUGCUAGACUUGAAUUACAAGGAAGUAACUAGAAUAUGUAGUGUAGCGGUGAAAUGCUUAGAUAUUACAUGGAAUACCAAUUGCGAAGGCAGGUUACUACUUGUGGAUUGACGCUGAUGGACGAAAGCGUGGGGAGCGAACA
rnacentral:rRNA from 1 species